CGAUGCAACGCGAAGAACCUUACCUGGUCUGACCAUCCCGGAGACCCUUAGGAAACUAGGGGUGCCUCCAUCUGGAAGAAUCUGGAGACAGGUGCUGCAUGGCUGUCGUCAGCUCGUGUCGUGAGAUGUUGGGUUAAGUCCCGCAACGAGCGCAACCCUUGCCUUAGUUGCCAGCAGUUCGGCUGGGCACUCUAAAGGGACUGCCGGUGUUAAACCGGAGGAAGGUGGGGAUGACGUCAAGUCCUCAUGGCCUUUAUGACCAGGGCUACACACGUACUACAAUGGCCGAUACAAAGGGCAGCGACACUGCGAGGUGAAGCCAAUCCCGUAAAAUCGGUCUCAGUCCGGAUUGGAGUCUGCAACUCGACUCCAUGAAGCUGGAAUCGCUAGUAAUCGCAGAUCAGCCAAGCUGCGGUGAAUACGUUCCCGGGCCUU
rnacentral:rRNA from 1 species